CUCUCCCUCUUAAUCUCCUCACUCAAUCAUUUAAUUUUCUAUAAAACAUAAGAAAGGAUUUAGGAUGUGGAAUUGAUCGAUUUGCAUUCAUCAUUUCAAUCGAGAACCAAUAAUCACAAGCUUGGCUUGGAUUCUCAGUGCUACAGGAGGUAAGUAACCAAAUUCCCACGAGAAGUUUAAGAAGAUGGGAUGGAUUGGUCAAGA
rnacentral:lncRNA from 1 species